AGGAAGUGGAGACCGGUUGGCACAUUGGGAGUUCUUGAGAAGUACAGGGAACAGAAUGUACAGUGGAAGGAGGGAAGUGUGGGGGAGAAGGGGGGCAGAGCUGCAGGAAAACCUCCCCUGCAUCACAGGGGAGCUAAGACUGGUCUACCUGGCCCAGAUUCUUUGGCCUGUGUCUCUGCUCAGCUCUGUUGAGAGCAUGAAUCCCUAAUCAGAUGAACAGAAUCAUGAGAAUCCCCACCAGCAGGUAAUCAAGAGGCCAGCGCCCUGUCCACAGGGCCAGGUAUCCACCUCCAAGGGAUCUGCCUCUGCCACACUCACCUUGCAGCAGGGACCUGCCAAAGGAAGCUGGAUGAGGCAGUGGCUUUCAUGAUAAAUGCUGGGUUGAACUCUGGUUCUUGAAGAAAGUUCCUGAUGUCUCCACUUCUUGACACUUUCUGAAAUGUAUGUCUAGGGCAAUUGAGAGAAUGACUCUAAAACUUUCUCCAGCCCUGACUCCUCUCUGAAUUGCCUCCUGAACAUCUCUAGUUGGAUGUUCCAUAGGGACCUCAGCAUCAUCCUAUCAUCAGGCUGUACCUCCCAUGAGGGUGAGAACUGUCAGUCUGGUACACCACGAUAUAUGCAGAGCCCCGUGCAGUGCUUGGCAUGGACACUGAAGAUAUACUGACCGGAUGAAGGAAUGGAGUUCUAAAACAAAACCUGUCACUUUCCACCUGGAAACAGUUCUAUCUCUGGGCUGCCUUGUCUGUCACUGAUAUCACCAUCAUUGUUGUCAAAUUGAUCCUCUCUCUUCCUUCUUCUCACAUCCUAUUGGUCACCAAGUCCUCUAUGUUCUACCCCAGCAAUAUCUCUUGAAUCCACUCUCCUCUCUCCACUGCUACACACUGCCCUGGAUUAGUCUCUUUCUGUACUUCGUGAUCUAAACCAUCCAGUGGUCCCCUCUUUCCUUCGGCAUAAACCCAAACUUCUUAGCGUGACUUCCCACCACUGCCUCUACCCUCCUUCUGUGUGUAUCAUCCAUUUCUCUUCUGCAUGGCUCUUGUUGCUGCCCAGCUAGUCUUCUCCUUGUUUCUCAAACCUGUCUUGGGUUUACCUGACCUGGUAUCCGGGCUCAUAUCCCUGUCUGUACUCUCCUCUUUUCAUUGGUCGAUCCUGGAUUUGAUAAUCUCUCCUUCCGCUGAGCUGAGAAUCAGACUGAACUCAUAGCUUAAGAUCUACUCUGUGUUGGCACUGCGUGUCAGGUGCUGGUGAUAAAGCUGAGGCUCUGGUACGUACAGGGAUGGUCAAGGUCACACAUUGGUAAUAGUAAGAGCUACCACUUAUUGGUUGUCUCUCAUGUUUCAGGUACUCUUCUGGGUGUUUUACCUGCUUUCUUUUCAAUAAACUUGCAAUAGGUCAUUCAAAUGAGGAUACAGCAUUAAAGGCAUCCAUACCAGCUGUGUCUGUUCCCAGGCAGGUCUUUUGGAGGGAACUGGCUCAGUGGAUGGAGAAAGUUAUGACUAGGAGAACAGAAGCUUAGAGUCCUGCUGAGGACACCAGGGGUCACCUCAUGGAUGCUGGGUUCCUGGGGAGGGCAAGAGGAAGGAAAGGGGAGAGGCAAGGGAAACAUGCCCUCCAUUAGCAUCAAACUAUUUCUCUCCUGACGGAAGGUGAGACAAAAUCUGGAGGUUCAAAUGGUGCUGUGGUUCAGCCUACACAUAAGAAACACUUGAGUUGCUUUUUAAAGGUAUUAAUGCAGAUUCUGACUUAGUGUGACUCAAGUGGGCCCUGGAUUCUGCAUUUCUAACAACUUCCAGGUGAUGCCAGUGCUGCUGGGUCCUGCAUCUAUAGCAGUCUAUGACUGGGUCUGAGAUGAUCUGUGGCCAGGGUCCAAGAUCAGUCUGUGCUUGGGGAAGUGGGACAGUCCAUAAUGGGAGAAUUGUGAAGUUGACCAGACUUUUGACUUUGACCAACACUGCAUCUGUCCUCCAACCUUAGAGCCUUGAGUCAUAAUGAAAAGAGUGAAAGAGAACAAAGAGAUUUUCCCUGAGGUAAAGGGGGGGGGGGGUGCAGAGCAGCUGGGGGCAGGAUUCCUGAGCCAUCAGGCUUGGUUAGUUCUUGAGAAGUUGUCCUAGCUCCUGGGAAGUGUCUGGAUAGGAGAAUCAGCUCCUUUUCUGCUGAGAUGAUUUCUCUUCCCUCCUUUCCUGCUUUCCCGCUCUACCAUCUGACAUAUGGUCUUGACAAGGAGAUAUAAGGUCCUCUUCUGCCACCUCUCCCUCAUACACAGUGAUCUGGAGUCACGAAACUUCUCGUCGUCCUUUGGUUUCACGAGCCGUUAACCCACUGCUACUUCUGCUGGAAAUGCUCGUACUUCCCCCCUCCACCUGGAAAACUCCUAUUCAUUUGUCAAGGCCUGAGGUCACCUUCUCUGGGAAGUCUUCCUUGCUCACCCCCUGACAAAUUCCAUUUUGUAUUAUUUGUGUAAUUAAAUUUCCAUUACAUUUCA